UACACUCCUGCGGGAGGCAGCAGUGGGGAAUAUUGCACAAUGGGCGCAAGCCUGAUGCAGCCAUGCCGCGUGUAUGAAGAAGGCCUUCGGGUUGUAAAGUACUUUCAGCGGGGAGGAAGGCGAUAAGGUUAAUAACCUUGUUGAUUGACGUUACCCGCAGAAGAAGCACCGGCUAACUCCGUGCCAGCAGCCGCGGUAAUACGGAGGGUGCAAGCGUUAAUCGGAAUUACUGGGCGUAAAGCGCACGCAGGCGGUCUGUCAAGUCGGAUGUGAAAUCCCCGGGCUCAACCUGGGAACUGCAUUCGAAACUGGCAGGCUAGAGUCUUGUAGAGGAGGGUAGAAUUCCAGGUGUAGCGGUGAAAUGCGUAGAGAUCUGGAGGAAUACCGGUGGCGAAGGCGGCCCCCUGGACAAAGACUGACGCUCAGGUGCGAAAGCGUGGGGAGCAAACAGGAUUAGAAACCCCUGUAGUCCCAUGAU
rnacentral:rRNA from 1 species